CAGGCGGCAUCCCACUCCAGUCCCUCCACGUCCACCAGCAGGCGCAUCAGCUCCGCCACCGCGAUGGUGGGGUGCGUGUCGUUCAGCUGGAAGCACGCCUUCUCCGGCAGCGCCUCCCAGUUGGCGCCGUGCACAGCGCGGAAGCGCGACAUCACGUCCUGCAGGUGGGAGGAGGCGGAGGAGGAAAUGUUCAGGCGGGCGGAAGUGAGGGAGAGAGAGGAGAGGGAGGGGAGGAGGAAGAGCAGGAUGGAUACGGCCAUGAGCGUUGCUGUGGUGCACACUGCUGCUGUGACCGUCGACAACGCCGCGCCCGUCCAUCACUACUCUUGCCUGGAAGCUCCAUCCCCCCCCCCGUCCACAAAGCUCCCGAGCUGGCAUGUCGGGCAUUUUGUGCCCCCGCCCCGGCACUGCAGUCCAGCUCCACCCCAAUCCCCCGCUCAGCCGCUGGUUGUCGUUUCCCUUCGCUGCCUUCACCGUCGCCGCCGCGCAGGUCAAGGACAAUGAUGACGAUCCCAAGUACCGUAUCCAGAACUGCGCCCUGGCGUCGCAUGAGCGACUGGCCGCACCCCCUGCCGCGCCCGCACACCACCCAUUCUUUCCCACCCAUGCCCUCCCAGCCACCCACCUGCAGCGAGGCGCACACGAAGAAGUACUGCUGCUUGAGGCGCAGCUCCUUGCCCUCGGGGGUGGAGUCGUUGGGGUACAGCACGGCGCUGAUGCCCUCGGCGCGCUCGCGCUCCAGCAUGGCCUGAAGGAGUACAGAGGGCGGGGCGUGGGGUAGCGGGCACGAGGGUGUUGGGUUUUGAGGUCAGGAAUACCUCACGUCGUGAGCAGACGCGCCGUGCGGUGUGCAAGCCCAGCCUGUUGGUUGCGCCCCGCCGGCCUUUGGUUAGCCAGGCACAGCCUGACACACACCUCAACCCUCCCUGCAGCCCUCAUUUCAGUCUCUCCGUCUCGCCCAGCGAACCUGCGGAACCCUGUCCCGCCCUUCAAUCAACCCGUGUUGGUUGGCGGCCCCGAAAAAUCAGCCAUGCCCUGCCUCCCUGUUCCUCCUUCCUGCCUCCUAGCCAGGCGCACCAACCCCCGCCUUCCACCCGAGGUCAGUCAACGACGCGCCCUUGGGACCACUUCUUUGCGUGCAAGCACGGAACCCCCUGCACAUAACCCCGCCUCCCUCCCUCCCUGCGUUCCGACUUGCUGCCUUCGUCUCCGCCUUUUCCCUGACUCACCCGGUCGUAGUCGCCGGCGUUGAAGGCGCUGAGGUCGAACUCGUGCACCGGCACCGCGUCCCACAGGCGCAGGUUGGAGGUGGUGGGAGUGGCGUAGCCGGGGAUCGGGUUGUCGUAC
rnacentral:lncRNA from 1 species